GUGACUCUUCCUGUCAUCAUUUUUGAACCCAUGACAAUGCUUCAGAAAAUGGCUGAGUUGAUGGAAUACUCGCAUCUGCUUGACAUGGCUGACAAAACCGAAGACCCUUACAUGCGUAUGGUAUAUGCAUCAUCAUGGGCUAUAUCUGUGUAUUAUGCCUACCAGCGUACCUGGAAGCCGUUUAAUCCAAUCCUUGGUGAGACUUA